rnacentral:rRNA from 1 species
UGGGGAAUCUUGCACAAUGGAGGAAACUCUGAUGCAGCGACGCCGCGUGAACGAUGAAGCCCUUCGGGGUGUAAAGUUCUUUCGACAGGGACGAUAAUGACGGUACCUGAAGAAGAAGCUGCGGCUAACUACGUGCCAGCAGCCGCGGUAAUACGUAGGCAGCGAGCGUUGUUCGGAAUUACUGGGCGUAAAGAGUGCGUAGGUGGUUGGCUAAGUUUGGUGUGAAAUCUCCCGGCUUAACUGGGAGGGUGCGCCGAAAACUGGCUGGCUAGAGUGUGGGAGAGGAACGUGGAAUUCCUGGUGUAGCGGUGAAAUGCGUAGAUAUCAGGAGGAACACCUGAGGUGUAGACGGCGUUCUGGACCAUUACUGACGCUGAGGCUCGAAAGCGUGGGGAGCAAACA